rnacentral:lncRNA from 1 species
CACCGUCUCCGAAGCUUCUACCACCAUCAGCUGAUUUCGCUGCUCUAUCUACUAACGGAUCCGCAUCUCCGAUAAGUAAUGAUCUCUGCUUACUGUUUCAUCACCAAGUCACGAUUUUUAUUUAAGAAUCGAUGUGAAAUUUUAGGGUUUUAUUGGGAGUAUUGAGUUAAAGUCUGAAGUUUGAUGUGUGCUUUGCUUUGCUUAGGCAUGUUAGUGUUCGAGAUGGUAGUUACAGUACUUGUAGUUGAAGGUGUUUGGGAGUUUGUUUCAGUUUAAGAUGUGUAUACUUUUCUAGUUCUUAAUGCGUGCAAAGGACUUCUUGAAGAUGAGAGAACCUGGAGAGAGUGAGGAAGCAAUAUCACUAGAAAGUGCUUACUCUGGGGAACAACCUCACUGACAUUGAAUUUAAACUGAAAGAAAUUGGGGAAGAGAACCAUUUGGAACCUGUCAGUAGAAACUUAUAAGCUCCUUUGAGUAAUUUCUUGAGGAUAGAGGAUGGAUGUCUUCUCCCGACAUCGUCUGCAGUAGUGGAUCAUAGUCAAACAUAACCUUCCCUGAAGCAAGAAGUCUUGCUACUUUUGUUUGCUGCUAGAGCAAACCGAGAUGAAUGAAGAUGAGUCCAAUGCUUGUCAGUUUUCAACUCCGUCAUUACAGUCCAAUCGCGAUGACAUCUUAGACUCUGAUCAACAAGUCUCAGCAGAGGUGGUGAUAGAAAGUAAUGAUGAUUGGAGAUUAGAAGUUACAGCUGAUGUCUCAUAACCGUUAGUGGAGGAUCAAGAACUCGUAUCUGGGAAAGCAAAGAAGCUGUGAAGGGAAAAACUGAAGUUCAAAGUGAUAAGGCUUCUCCUCCACACAGACACAGACUAGAGUCACAAGUCACAAGAGGUUAGUUCAUCUAUCCAAGUGCCUUACAAUUAUCCCUUUUCCAAUCUCUCUUUGAGACUUAUGGAAAGCAUACUGCUCUUCCCAUUGUUCCAAUUGUAAAAAGUAAUCUCACAUCUACAGCAAAUUAAGUGCCAGGAAGUUCUAGAGUAGUCACGGUGCUUAUAUUUCAAGCCUGCUAGCACCAAACCCCACAAACUUGCAAUGAUCCGUAUGCGUACAUGGUUUCUUGCCAAUGUAUUGUUGAAAAUCUCGUAUCUUGAUAAUCUAAGGCGGCUUCUUUUAUAUGCAGGUAAAAAUGCUAUGGACACUGUCAGUUCUCAAGUGCAUGGAGAUGAAAAUAGAUGGUCGAGGCAUUGCUGACAACAAGUACGUGUGGAUAAUUAACUUCCCAAUAAACUAUAAAAUGAAGAAAUGUUAAAGUUACAUCAACAACUCUUUACAACCAUUUUGUAUAGGGAGGUUAGCAUUGCAGAGCAGGUGGCUUAUCUAAUCAACAAGACCACAAGCGUUUAUAAUCUCUGCAACUUAACCAACAGGGCGCUUCAAGACUCUGAGGGAGGCCACAUCAGGUAUAACUGAAGACACAUUUGGUAUCUCAUGAAGUUGUUGCACUCAACCAGCCAUUGGUGCUAGAAAGCAGGCUCAAAAGUUUGAAAACGGGCAUGUAUACAAAAAGAGUUCAAGAUUCAACAUUGUGUCUGUCUUAUCCAAAGUACGAUCUUUGGUUUCCAAGAGACAGAUCCAUUUAAUUACUGUUUGUAAUAGAGAAAGCUUGCUUCAGUUCCAUUUAGAGUGAUAAAUUUACUGACUCAUUAUCAUGACUAUAGUUUGCUUUACCAAAAAAAA